UACGAAGGGGGCUAGCGUUGCUCGGAAUCACUGGGCGUAAAGCGCACGUAGGCGGAUCGUUAAGUCAGGGGUGAAAUCCUGGAGCUCAACUCCAGAACUGCCUUUGAUACUGGCGAUCUUGAGUUCGGGAGAGGUGAGUGGAACUGCGAGUGUAGAGGUGAAAUUCGUAGAUAUUCGCAAGAACACCAGUGGCGAAGGCGGACUUACUGGCUCAUUUCUGACGCUGAGGUGCGAAAGCGUGGGGAGCAAACAGGG
rnacentral:rRNA from 1 species